UGGGGAAUAUUGGACAAUGGGGGAAACCCUGAUCCAGCAAUGUCGCGUGAGUGAAGAAGGCCUUCGGGUUGUAAAACUCUUUCAGCAGUGAAGAUAAUGACGGUAACUGAAGAAGAAGCACCGGCUAACUCCGUGCCAGCAGCCGCGGUAAUACGGAGGGUGCUAGCGUUGUUCGGAAUUACUGGGCGUAAAGAGCGCGUAGGCGGGCUAAAAAGUUAGACGUGAAAUCCCUAAGCUCAACUUAGGAACUGCGUUUAAAACUGUUAGUCUAGAAUUUGGGAGAGGGUAGUAGAAUUUCCAGUGUAGAGGUGAAAUUCGUAGAUAUUGGAAAGAAUACCAGUGGCGAAGGCGACUACCUGGACCAACAUUGACGCUAAGGCGCGAAAGCGUGGGUAGCAAACAGG
rnacentral:rRNA from 1 species